GUUCGCCGGGUCAUGGUGCCAGCCCGACUGAGAAAAGGACGCUCCUGGGAUACGAAUGAGGAACCACCUCCUCCUGCUGUUCAAGUACAGGGGCCUGGUCCGCAAAGGGAAGAAAAGCAAAAGACGAAAAUGGCUAAAUUCGUGAUCCGCCCGGCCACCGCCGCCGACUGCAGUGACAUCCUGAGGCUAAUCAAGGAACUGGUCAAAUACGAAUAUAUGGAAGAGCAAGUAAUGUUAACUGAAAAAGAUCUACUAGAGGAUGGUUUCGGAGAGCACCCUUUCUACCACUGCCUGGUUGCAGAAGUGCCCAAGGAGCACCGGUCUCCGGAAGGACACAGUGUUGUUGGUUUCACCAUGUACUACUUUACCUAUGACCCGUGGAUUGGCAAACUGUUGUAUCUUGAGGACUUCUUCGUAAUGAGUGACUAUAGAGGCUUUGGCAUAGGAUCAGAAAUUCUGAAGAACCUAAGCCAGGUUGCCAUGAAAUGUCACUGCAGCAGCAUGCACUUCUUGGUAGCCGAAUGGAAUGAACCAUCUAUCAACUUCUACAAAAGAAGAGGUGCUUCUGAUCUGUCCAGCGAAGAGGGAUGGAGACUCUUCAAGAUCAACAAGGAGUAUUUGCUAAAGAUGGCAGCAGAGGAGUGAGGAGUGCUGGUGCAGAAAAAUGACAGCUUCCAUUCUAUUUUAGAUUAAAUUCUCAACUGAUCUUGCUUUCUAUCCUGUUUGUAGUCGAAUAAUAGAAUGAACACCCAUUCCAAAGCUUUAUUACCAGUGGCGUUGUUGCAUGUUUGAAAUGCGGUCUGUUUAAGAUGGCAGUCUUGUAUGCACAUCUGACUCU